UCUGUCGUGAAAGUCCGGGGCUUAACCCCGGAUCUGCGGUGGGUACGGGCAGACUAGAGUGCAGUAGGGGAGACUGGAAUUCCUGGUGUAGCGGUGGAAUGCGCAGAUAUCAGGAGGAACACCGAUGGCGAAGGCAGGUCUCUGGGCUGUAACUGACGCUGAGGAGCGAAAGCAUGGGGAGCGAACAGGAUUAGAUACCCUGGUAGUCCAUGCCGUAAACGUUGGGCACUAGGUGUGGGGACCAUUCCACGGUUUCCGCGCCGCAGCUAACGCAUUAAGUGCCCCGCCUGGGGAGUACGGCCGCAAGGCUAAAACUCAAAGGAAUUGACGGGGGCCCGCACAAGCGGCGGAGCAUGCGGAUUAAUUCGAUGCAACGCGAAGAACCUUACCAAGGCUUGACAUGUUCUCGAUCGCCGUAGAGAUACGGUUUCCCCUUUGGGGCGGGUUCACAGGUGGUGCAUGGUUGUCGUCAGCUCGUGUCGUGAGAUGUUGGGUUAAGUCCCGCAACGAGCGCAACCCUCGUUCCAUGUUGCCAGCACGUAAUGGUGGGGACUCAUGGGAGACUGCCGGGGUCAACUCGGAGGAAGGUGAGGACGACGUCAAAUCAUCAUGCCCCUUAUGUCUUGGGCUUCACGCAUGCUACAAUGGCCGGUACAAUGGGUUGCGAUACUGUGAGGUGGAGCUAAUCCCAAAAAGCCGGUCUCAGUUCGGAUUGGGGUCUGCAACUCGACCCCAUGAA
rnacentral:rRNA from 1 species